AUUGAACGCUGGCGGCAGGCCUAACACAUGCCAGUCGAGCGGAUGAAGGGAGCUUGCUCCUGGAUUCAGCGGCGGACGGGUGAGUAAUGCCUAGGAAUCUGCCUGGUAGUGGGGGAUAACGUCCGGAAACGGGCGCUAAUACCGCAUACGUCCUGAGGGAGAAAGUGGGGGAUCUUCGGACCUCACGCUAUCAGAUGAGCCUAGGUCGGAUUAGCUAGUUGGUGGGGUAAAGGCCUACCAAGGCGACGAUCCGUAACUGGUCUGAGAGGAUGAUCAGUCACACUGGAACUGAGACACGGUCCAGAUUCCUACGGGAGGCAGCAGUGGGGAAUAUUGGACAAUGGGCGAAAGCCUGAUCCAGCCAUGCCGCGUGUGUGAAGAAGGUCUUCGGAUUGUAAAGCACUUUAAGUUGGGAGGAAGGGCAGUAAGUUAAUACCUUGCUGUUUUGACGUUACCAACAGAAUAAGCACCGGCUAACUUCGUG
rnacentral:rRNA from 1 species